rnacentral:rRNA from 1 species
UACGUAGGGCGCAAGCGUUGUCCGGAAUUAUUGGGCGUAAAGAGCGUGUAGGCGGCCCGAUAAGUCCGCUGUGAAAGUCCAGGGCUCAACCCUGGGAUGCCGGUGGAUACUGUCGGGCUCGAGUCCGGAAGAGGAGUGUGGAAUUCCUGGUGUAGCGGUGAAAUGCGCAGAUAUCAGGAGGAAUACCAAUGGCGAAGGCAGCACUCUGGGACGUGACUGACGCUGAGACGCGAAAGCGUGGGGAGCAAACAGG